AGUGAACGCUGGCGGUAGGCCUAACACAUGCAAGUCGAACGGCAGCACAGAGGAGCUUGCUCCUUGGGUGGCGAGUGGCGGACGGGUGAGGAAUACAUCGGAAUCUACUCUGCCGUGGGGGAUAACGUAGGGAAACUUACGCUAAUACCGCAUACGACCUACGGGUGAAAGCAGGGGACCUUCGGGCCUUGCGCGAUUGAAUGAGCCGAUGUCGGAUUAGCUAGUUGGCGGGGUAAAGGCCCACCAAGGCGACGAUCCGUAGCUGGUCUGAGAGGAUGAUCAGCCACACUGGAACUGAGACACGGUCCAGACUCCUACGGGAGGCAGCAGUGGGGAAUAUUGGACAAUGGGCGCAAGCCUGAUCCAGCCAUACCGCGUGGGCGAAGAAGGCCUUCGGGUUGUAAAGCCCUUUUGUUGGGAAAGAAAUCCAGCUGGCUAAUACCCGGUUGGGAUGACGGUACCCAAAGAAUAAGCACCGGCUAACUUCGUGCCAGCCGCCGCGGUAA
rnacentral:rRNA from 1 species